CGAGCGCCCUUUCGGGGGAGCGGCGGACGGGUGAGUAACGCGUGGGAAUAUGCCCUUCUCUACGGAAUAGUCUCGGGAAACUGGGGGUAAUACCGUAUACGCCCUUUUGGGGAAAGAUUUAUCGGAGAAGGAUUAGCCCGCGUUGGAUUAGGUAGUUGGUGGGGUAAUGGCCUACCAAGCCGACGAUCCAUAGCUGGUUUGAGAGGAUGAUCAGCCACACUGGGACUGAGACACGGCCCAGACUCCUACGGGAGGCAGCAGUGGGGAAUCUUAGACAAUGGGGGAAACCCUGAUCUAGCCAUGCCGCGUGAGUGAUGAAGGCCUUAGGGUUGUAAAGCUCUUUCAGCUGGGAAGAUAAUGACGGUACCAGCAGAAGAAGCCCCGGCUAACUCCGUGCCAGCAGCCGCGGUAAUACGGAGGGGGCUAGCGUUGUUCGGAAUUACUGGGCGUAAAGCGCACGUAGGCGGACCAGAAAGUUGGGGGUGAAAUCCCGGGGCUCAACCCCGGAACUGCCUUCAAAACUAUUGGUCUGGAGUUCGAGAGAGGUGAGUGGAAUUCCGAGUGUAGAGGUGAAAUUCGUAGAUAUUCGGAGGAACACCAGUGGCGAAGGCGGCUCACUGGCUCGAUACUGACGCU
rnacentral:rRNA from 1 species